rnacentral:rRNA from 1 species
AUAUCAAUAAGCGGAGGAAAAGAAACUAACAAGGAUUCCCCUAGUAACUGCGAGUGAAGCGGGAAAAGCUCAAAUUUAAAAUCUGGUGGUCUUUGGCCACCCGAGUUGUAAUUUAGAGAAGCGUCUUCCGCGCUGGGCCGUGCACAAGUCUCCUGGAAUGGAGCGUCAUAGAGGGUGAGAAUCCCGUCUUUGGCACGGACCCCAGGGCUUCUGUGAUGCGCUCUCGACGAGUCGAGUUGUUUGGGAAUGCAGCUCAAAAUGGGUGGUGAACUCCAUCUAAAGCUAAAUAUUGGCGAGAGACCGAUAGCGAACAAGUACCGUGAGGGAAAGAUGAAAAGCACUUUGGAAAGAGAGUGAAACAGUACGUGAAAUUGUUGAAAGGGAAACGCUUGAAGUCAGUCGCGUCGGCCGAGACUCAGCCUUGCCUUGGCUUGGUGUACUUCUCGGUUUGACGGGUCAGCAUCAAUUUUGAUCCUUGGAUAAUGGCAAGGGAAAGGUAGCACCUUUUUAGGUGUGUUAUAGUCCUCUGUCACAUGCGAGGGUCAGGAUUGAGGAACUCAGCAUGCACCUUCGGGUGUCGGGGCCUUGCCCACGUUACGUGCUUAGGAUGCUGGCAUAAUGGCUUUAAACGACCCGUCUUGAAACACGGACCAAGGAGUCUAACAUACCCGCGAGUGUUCGGGUGGAAAACCCGUGCGCGUAAUGAAAGUGAAAGUUGGGACCUCUGUCGUGGAGGGCACCGACGCCCGGACCAGACCUUCUGUGACGGCUCUGCGGUAGAGCGUGUAUGUUGGGACCCGAAAGAUGGUGAACUAUGCCUGAAUAGGGUGAAGCCAGAGGAAACUCUGGUGGAGGCUCGUAGCGAUUCUGACGUGCAAAUCGAUCGUCAAAUUUGGGUAUAGGGGCGAAAGACUAAUCGAACCAUCUAGUAGCUGG